CAACCUACUCCACAACAAAAAGGUACAAAAUAAUCAAAGCUGUAGACCCAGCAGCUGGGGUUUUAGGACCUCAGCCUCACAUCACAAUCAAUUCUUUGAAAUCUGAGAAAUGUUGCGGUUAAAAGAACAGCUUUCAAACAAAGACAGAGGAGGAAGAAAAACUCCACCUAAAAUAUUUACCCUGCCAGCAAGAGUAUUUGUACCCUUUUCUUGUUCCAAGUCUUUUAUCUGUUUUACAGUAUAACCGGCAGCAGGCCCUUCUCUCUCUCAGCAAGAUUUCUUCUGUCUCUCAGCAGCUCCUGUCUUGACUGCGUGCCACUUGUCUUUCUAUUCCCUUGAGCACAAGCUCCCAUUAGUAACCUUCUCAUUUCAUGAAGCCAAAAAAAAAAGUGAUUUUCAAGCUAAAUCUCAGCAAGUUAAUCAACUGGGCUUCCAACAACUUCUCUGGCAAUCACAUUCCUUUGUCUUUUUGUUUAUUAGAUGUGUUACAUACAGGAGCCUGACAUGAUAGAGAUUACCGCUUCAAGGAAUUUGGAUGAGUCCCAACAGAAUCAUGACCUUUUGGUACAUAGCUUGCAUUCAAUACAAAGAAAUGGCUUCUACUCUGGUCUCCAGCUCUUCUGAAGUGCAGACCAUUAGCCACCAUCCAUCCAUCCAGGAUGAAAUACUAAAGCUGUCUAAAGCUGGGACUACAUCUUUAAAAAACAAUGAAGCAGCCCAAGCUCUGAGCAUGUUCAAGAAAGCGUACAUUCUGGCUGAUGGGGUUCCUGAGACGCAAAGUCAGAAGAUGUGCCUCUUCAAUUUAGGGGCUGCCUAUAUUGCUAUGGGCAAACCAAAGAAAGGACUGAAGUGCCUGCUGAAGUGUAAAUCAAAGGGAUCUGUGGAGAAAGAUGGUGAUUUCUACUUUAACAUUGCAGCUGCUUAUGAGGAAAUGAAGGAGUACUCUAAAGCGGUGAAGUUUUACCAGAGAGCUAUUAGUGAAUACAUACCUAGUGAAACACAAAGCAUCUCAGAUGCUUUGAUCAAACUUGGCUAUUGUUCAGUGAAUGUAGGAGACCUUCCCUCAGCUGCACGUUCCUUUAAGCUUGCCAGCCACUCCUACCAAAAGACAGAGAAAACUGAAGAUGCUGCCAUGGCCAUGAGGGAGGCAGUCAGCUAUAUGAUACGGAGUCAAAAGUUCUCAAAGGCAGAAGUGCUCAAGACUUUAGCUGAAUGUGCACAGCUGUGUUCUGGAAUCACUAACCAGGAUUUGUUAGGCAAACUCUACAACCACAUUGGAUUGCACUAUGCUGAAAUGAUGUGCUUCCACCAAGCUGGGAAAUACUUUAUCAAAGCCAUGCAAAUCUGCAGUGGGGCAAACUUUUCUAUACGGAAGAGAGCUGUAUUACUACAAAACCUGGGAGCGAUCUACAAUGCUUUAUGCCAGUAUGAAAAGUCAUUGAGAUUUCACGGCGAGGCAGCACAUCUGUACGGUGAGGUGUCAAACAUGUGAUUCAUUCUGCAGGGUGGAGAGGUUCACCUCCCCCAAGCCUGAAGGAUCAGACGGGCAUCAGCAUCUUGACUUUACAAACCUGUCAAAAAUCCAGCAAGGCCCUGGCACCAGCUCCUGAUGUGGUUUUUUGAGCAAGUCCCUGCCACUCCUGACUAGCCCUCCUUAGUUUGGCCCUAGUCGAGGCAGUUCUUGGACCAUCCCCUCUAACUGAAUUUAGCAGUCUGCAUCAGUCUCUUGACUGUGUUUGUGGAUGAGGCCUAGUACAGGAAUGAUGCUUCUUUGUGUUUCAGGCCUUUCUACCUCACCUUUUGUCUCUGUAUUCUCUCUUUUAUAGCAAGCCUUGUUGCCUUCAUUGGCUGCAGCUGUGGGUGCCUGCCUCCUUGACUGGCCGCUGUGGCAGCUGCAUGGGGGUGUGGUCAAGCUGCUUGCCUGUAGAUAUGAGAGGUUCUUCUCCCACUUCUGUCUCUGAGCAGUAUGGGGUUUGUAGACUCCAUUGCAGGCCCCAGUUCAGCAAAGCAUUCAAGCACAUACUUAACUUUAUGUCAAUGGGAUUUAAACACAUGCUUAAGUAUUUUGCUGAAUUGGCUACAAAAUUUGGGACAGAAUCAGCAAAAUUAUUUUGUGCCAUCUUCUUGCCUAUGAAAUGUUUUAAGGAAGAAAAUUUGGGGAAUGGGUGAAUAUGCUAAUAAAGAUUUAAGGUUAAGCCUCUCGCUUGAAAUA
ensembl:lncRNA